rnacentral:lncRNA from 1 species
AGACCUGGUACCUUGUCUCAAAACACCCUAAUAUACGCUAGCAUAACGCCACCGUUCCUCCACUGUCUCCCACCGUCCACCGCCAGCUGGAAAUUGCCUCUGCCGCCGGCAAUACUCCGAUGACCCCCAAAACUACACCACAUCACAUCCUCGACCUCCUCUUUCCAUUUCUGUCAUUAGUGUCCCUCGAACAUAAGCCAAUCUUGUCGAACAAUUGUUUGAAUCGAUGGCUGCUCGCCGCACACCGCGGCGCCGAUGGCAAAUGACUCCAAAAAACCAUAGGUUCUCCGAACCUCCCUCAUCCCAAAUCUGUAAACCUUAGCCCUCGAAUGUCAGCCGAGCUCCUCGAAUGUUAAAUUGAAAUCUCCGGCCAAAUCUCACCAACCUCCAAACCUCUUCAAAAUCAUACCCUAUGGUCUCCUUGAUCGCCUCACCCCAAAUUCCAAACUAAAAUCCCUCAAACCCGGUUGGAAUCCCACCAAUUUUGGAUCUUGGGUUUCAUUUUAAAGAGGUCUAACCCUGAAUGGAUUUUUAAAUAUGCAAGUGAUCCCAAGUUAAUGUGAUUUGUUUGUUUUUGGCAAAAUAAACAUAUAACAUUAGCUUAGGAUCAAAUACAAGGUCAAUUCAAGUUGCGACCUAAAAAAGUGAGUUCUGAUCCUUUUCUUUCUUUCUUUGUUCUUUCUUUUUAUUUGCAUGUUUCUUCUGUCGUUCCUUUGCAUAUUUUCUUUUGCUUUUGGUUGAAUUAGAAUUUUUUGAUUUAGGUCUCUGAUUUUCAUAUAUUACAGCCGUAUAGUGUUAGUUUGUCCAUAUUUUGGAUUUGAUUAUGUGUUUUGACUUUGAGUAAAUGUCCAUGCUUGCCACUGAUUUUCUUUAGAUUUUUAGUAUUAUAGUUUUAUUGACCAUAUACUGGCUGUUAAUUUUCCCUAGAUUUUAGUUAGUUUCAUAGUACAACUGCAUGUGUGAGUUAUUAAUUUGUUCAUCUAUUUCUUCUGUUAGUUCAGUGAUUAGUUCAAGUGAUAAAAAACAGCUUUAAUACAUGGCACUAUUUAGAGUUAAUUUUCAGGUAGGUUAGUUAGAUUAGUUCAGUCUUUAGGAUUCGUUUUGGUAUGGCUGAGCAUGACCAGAUUAGUUUUAAAUUAACCUUAGUCAUUGUUGAUCAAGUUCAAGGGCUUAGGAUUAAUUGACUUAGCCUUAAGUUAAUCACUAACUCAAUUAAGCUACUCCUGCAAUUAUUUCUUUAGGUUUUAGUUUUCAAAUCUAGGUAAAUAACCUAUUUAGAUUGGGAAUGGUCUUUGACCCAAUUGGCUAAGCUUCAGCCUAUCCAAAUUGGAUUUGGGCCACUGGGUCAGACCUUGGCCCAUUUGAGGAAGGUCUCAGGGGUAUAUAUUGGUUAUCUCAAGGGUAGUUUGGGUAGUUUACAUAAAGGAUCUUGCAGUAACCAAUUUGGAACACCCUAGAACCUUCUAGAUUAGGUUUUAAUUAGAAUUUCAGAAAGUUAGUGGUAUAACUUGGGCAACAAGCCAAUAACUAAGGGACUAACUAAGCAAGAACUGAAAAUAAAGGAGGGACUUAGGUUGUAAAGUGAAAUCUGAAAGUUGCCAUCGGCUUUGCCUAUAAAAGGGAUACCCUUUGCCUUGUUUUAGGGGAUUUUUGGAUUUUUAUUAUUUUUGGCCUAAAAAAAAUUCUGAAAAAAAUCACAUAAAAAAAAUUCUUAGAGGUCAGAGAUCCAAAAUUUAAAAAAAAUAAAUCAAUAUCCCGUUGAGUUUUCUUAGGGAGAUCCUGAAGUUCUAAGUUCUGAGUUAGAUUUCCAGCUUAUCUAAGGGUUGAAAAUGGCUUGAAUUCUCGGGUGAUUCAGUAAUCGUGGUUUUCAGAAGUUCCUGGAGUCAUUCCUGGGUUUACUUGAGUUUAUUCAAGUUGUUUUUUUUUGUGUUGUUCAUUGGUGUUAUUUGAGUAAAAUUACUGCCUGGGCUACCUGAUAGUAUUUUCUGGGUGGAAUUACUUCAAAACUGCUGUUAAUUGCUGUGUGCUGCUGCUACUUAGCCGAACUUCGAUUUUUCUCUCAUUUUUGUUCAAAUUCUAGGUACACAUUAUGUAGCUCUCAAGUUUGGAAAUAAAAAUGAAAUGCUGCCUGAUUUCCUUGUUGAUUUUCACUGUUGUGUUUUUAGGAGUUUCAGAACUUCAGUAGAUCUUCAUUUGUAACUGAACUGUUCAGGACUGUAUAAUACUUUAAAAGAUUCCAUUUCCUUCUCAUAAUCAUAUGAACAUUGCAUUUAGAAGUGUUAUAUUCAAAUUAGAUUGAGUUUGAUGUUUAUGUUACCGUGUAUUAGUUUGAAAUCAGAAAUUCAAAAGCAGUGUGUUGAUUCAAAAAUGAUGUGUUAAUUCAAAAUCAGAAGUUAGCCAUGGUUUCGCCUAUGAUUCUAAUGUUAGAAGUCACUCGAAUGAGCUGGAAAUUUUCAGUUGUUUAAGCCUAGGAAUGUAAUGGCCUUGUUUGAAUCUCAUGUUAUAUAGUUCAUUAGUCUAUUAGAUACAUAUGACUCAUAUUCUAUUUGUAUACUUGUAUGAGAGGUUUUAUCUCAAACGUACAUCAUCAGUUGUUCUUUCAAAUUUUAAGCUGUGUUUCCAACGAACCAGAAAUUAAGUCUGGAUAUUGGUUUGUAAAUUAAAAUUUGCAGUUUAAAUCAUUCAUUACUUAUGCUUAAUAUUUUUACAUCUUGGUCAAAUAAUUAGUACAUGUGCUUAGCUAAAGCAGCUUUGAAUUUAAAAUGCUUGUUAAAUCGGAUUUGUCUGCUUAGUUAACUUGUAUCACAUGAUUUGAAUGAUUUUCAGGAACCUGUUAAUUAGCCUUCCUAUUUCAUGAGAACGUGUGCUUUAGUAUUGUAUUUUGGACCAUGGUUUUAUCAGGUCACGAGAACCAGGCCUAAUGAAGGCCCAGUCAUGACCGGUGCCAUUUUGAGUGUACAUCUUUGGGCUUGGCUCCAAUUGGCGCCCAUUUUAUAUCUCAAAUUUCAUCUAAAGUAGGAAUGUAUUUGUAUUGAUGGUUGGACCUUUGGUUCAUUCAUGCUGAGCCCAAAGAUUGAGCCCCAUAAGUUAUUUUCACACCUGAAUCACAGAUGGAUCUGAGUACUGUGGCUUGUUUGGGCCACUGGCAUACUUAGUUAUAGUUAAUUGAUUAGGACUCAUUUCAACAAUUGGUUUUAGUCCAUAACUAGAUCACAAAUAGUUCAGGGCAUUCCAUGUGCUAAUAUAAAUGUCCUUUUAAAAUAAAUAUGACUUGCGCCGCGCUAAAUAAAAAUCAUAAAUUGCGUGGCCCUCUUUAAUUAUCUCCAUUAAAAUAUUUAGAAAUUGGGCGGCCAUUUAGCGAAUUUUCAUGGCCUCCCGCAAAGUUAAUAAUGUGUUAGUCGCUUUAGGAACGCUCCUUAAUAAUUUUACCUUCCUAAAUUCUGGUCCGCAUUUAUGUGACCCAAAUUCAAAUCUCAACGGUGUUAAAAGUUAUCAAAAAUCACGGGUGCAUUUAUGUGACGUGAUUCGGGACGCAUUUUAAUAUUGUUGCAAUCUUCCUCAAAAAUUCAAUUAAAAGCAGUAAGUAAUUUUAAAAUUGCACUAUAGGAUAAACAUGUCUAAAAUCAUAUAAUUAGCCAAAUAUGAUAGUUUAAGCGAUCGUGCUAGAACCACGGAAUCUGAGGGUACCUAACACAUUCCCUUGGGUUAAUAGAACUCAUUACUCAAGAACUUCUGGUUCGCAGACCUCAAUCGGAAAUUCGAAAAUUUCCUCGCUUUUGGAUUCAAGAUAAAUCGAUGACUUGGGACACCAAAAUCCAAACCUAUCCCAAAUGGAGACUCUGAAAUAAAUAAAUAAUCCAAAUUCGAAUAAUGUCACUUAUAGUGGAAAAAUUCCCUUAUGCAUUUAUCCUACGAGGUAGGUGUGUAAAAAAGGAGGUGUUAAAAAGAAGUCAACAAUGAAAGGCCUACAAAGGCGAAAUAAAGAUGGAAAAGGUUAAGUCCCACGCGACUAGCCGUUGCAGCAAAGUUUGAGGAGACAAAAGUUCCCAAUGUUCCGAAGAAAAGAAAAGAAAAGAAAAAGAAAAAAAACGACAAUCAGAAAGGAAAGGCCUACGAAGGCAAAAUAAAGUUGAAAGCUGAGUUCUACCGACCAACCAUCAUGGAAAAGUCUGAAAAACAUUAGAGGUUCUCCAGAGCCUGAUAUGAAUCAAUCCUUAGGGAGCAAAUAGUAGCAGCAGAGGAUCUCAAUAGAAGUUGGGCCGGGAUCAAGCAAUCAAGGCCACAGAACCAACCACCAUCUCAAACUAACAAUUGUUAUUUGUUGAAAAUUGAAACAGGUGCGAUACGAGAAACCGUGUAAAAGCAGGUGCAGUCAAAAGGAAAAUGCGCAAGUGACG